ACCACAUAAUUAUGACAGAACUCUCCAAUAUUAAUUUGUUAUUAUUCUUUGCCACAAAGCUUUAGCAAAUGCCUCUCCCGUUUUCUUCUUCUUUUUUUUUUUUGGUUCCCCGGCCAUAUUUUUGUAGGUCAUACAUAUAUAGUCUUUUUCAUUUUUCAAAUUUUUAAGUUGUCAUGGCUUGGUCGGUUUGGAGCAAGUAAGAGUUCAAAAUUCUAAUUCAUAGAGAUCACAUAUUUAAGUUUGGUCGGUACGUUCACUUCCCUCGUAAUUCUCCGACCAUUUACGUCCACGUCUCUCUGUCAUCAUUUAUACCCACUAAACGUAAUCAUUAUCAGGACUUUCUACAUUUAAGUUAGGUCCUACACACAUCAUGACAUGACAAUUUAUACUAGGGCCACAGAUAAUGUGUGGGUGUGCGUGUGAAGAAAUGAGGAGAACAGUAAAUAGUUUGUCUUUGUUCUUUGAAAUUUUUAAUGGGGAGGUUAAUUUAAAAACUCCAAAAAACAUUAGAUUUUUUGUUUCAAAAUUAUCUGUGUU
rnacentral:lncRNA from 1 species